rnacentral:rRNA from 1 species
GACGAACGCUGGCGGCGUGCUUAACACAUGCAAGUCGAACGGAAAGGCCCUGCUUUUGUGGGGUGCUCGAGUGGCGCACGGGUGAGUAACACGUGAGUAACCUGCCCUUGAAUUUGGGAUAACUUCAGGAAACUGGGGCUAAUACCGGAUAGGAGCUCCUGCUGCAUGGGGGGGGUUGGAAAGUUUCGGCGGUUGGGGAUGGUAUAGAGGCUUAUCAGCUUGUUGGGCGGGUAGGUGAUUACCAGGGCUUUGACGGGUAGCCGGCCUGAGAGGGUGACCGGCCACAUGGCGACUGAGGUACGGCGCAGAAUGCAACGGGAGGCAGCAGGGGGGAACAUGGCAGAAUGGGCGGAAGCCUGAGGCAGCAGCCCCGCGUGCGUGAUGACGGCCUACGGGGGGUAAACCGCUGUCGACGGUGACGAAGCGUGAGUGACGGUAAUGGGUAAAGAAGCACCGGCUAACUACGUG